GUAAGGCUUUAUUAAAGCAUAGUUUUGGGGUGUAUUUGCAAAAUAUCAAUUGUUGUUAAGCCAUUUUUUCAGACCUCUGUUUCAAUAAAAAAUUGCAGAGCAAGUUGGUGAAGCGGAGAUACUCGGUUGAGGAAGUCACAACACUCUCACUCGCACUCUCAUUCCCAUUCUCACUUCCAGCCAGAAAGUUAGAAACCUUGUGCCCUAGUUGUCAUGGCUUAUUUGGAAAAUGGCACCGGAACUACCUAGACCAAGUCUCUACCCAAGGAUACCAAGAAGAAAGAUGUUAACAAGGAGGAGGAUCUAAUGAGUCCCCGUUUCGAGUUUAUGCUUUAGUUAUCUUUAUCCAUUUGUAUUUAUUUUGUUUUAUAACUUAGGUGGUUUUUGUUUUCUUAGCAUGCACAAUCGGAAGAAGACUUGGUUUUGAAGCAACAGUUGGAGUUAUACGUAGAGAGAAUUUAUGAUGUUGAUCCUGAAGUCCAGAAAGUAGCUCUUGAAAGCAUGAGGCAAGAAGUCCGCACCUCAAUCAACUCCAUGACUUAUGUUCCAAAGCUAUUGAAGUUUCUCCGACCCCAUUACGGAACCCUAAAGGCAUUUUAUGAGACUAUGCUUGAUUCAGAUUUGAAGGAGAGUUUAAAGUACAGAUUGUUGGGUUCAGAAGGCGACAUUUGUUCAUGGGGCCAUGGAUAUGUGAGGUGAGCAUUUAUUUGGUCUGAUAAGUUAUUAUAUUUUACUCCUUUGCUACUGGAAAACUUGUAUAAUAAGUGCUUCAUUCGCUAUUGCUGGCUGAACUUGUUUAGAUCAUGAUAAUAGUUUACGUUUAUCUGUCUUGCUAAUCCAACUUUCAUUUCUUAGAAUUCAUAUCCAAAGUAUGACUUAUGUGAAUAUUUUCCUUCUCAUAUUGAUGGAUAACCUAGCAGAGACCUUUUUGGCCUUGCUUGUUAAUUUAUUUGUUGUCAGGAUCUUAGCAGGAGAAAUUUUGUAAGAGUAUCUAAUGCGACAGAUUGAAGAUGCCCCAGUUGACGAUCUAAUGGAGCUUGUGGAACAAAUUGUUGCUUUUCACAUGAAGGAUUAGCUAUAUUAUCAUAUCAACAAGAAAUUGAUGUAUCGCAGAAGAAAUUUUUUUUUCCAAUACUUGCCAUGCUUUCCAAUUUCUAACAUAUUUGUACGUUCUGUACAACACACUGCUGAAUCUGAAACCGUUGAUCUCUUGAUGGAGGUUGACGAUCUUGACCCUUUAACUGAUCAUGUUGAUAUUACAAAAUUCAGGAACACUUGUCUAUAUCUCACCAGUGCUGCGAGGGAAUUAAUUUUGAACUUGAUGAUGAUAUCGUUGAGGAUAAUGAAGAUAGAGAACAAUCACAGGAUAUCAUCAACAAUGUUAAAUUAAGUAAAGGUUAACUCACCCUUGCUCGUGAUAUUUAGGUUAUGGAGCCUAAAUGUCUAGAAGACGUCUAUAAGGUCUGGACUUCAACACUCAGUUAAGAUUUAUUUACAUUGACUUUGUCCGUGUUGGCUAUUUUUUGGCUUCAUCAAAUUGAUGACUGGCAUAUACGGUUUGUUAGACUCAUUUGCUUGAUGGUCAUGCUAUUGCUAGUGCAAAUGUUGAUUCAGCUAGAAAUUUGGCUGGUACAUUUGUCAAUGCUUUUGUUAAUGCGGGUUUUGGCAAGGAUAGGUUAAUGACAGGCCCGGCUGACUCUUUAGGUGAUGGUUCAUCUGGAAAUUGGCUUUUCAAAAACAAAGAACAUGCGAAGAUCAAUGUUGUAGCAAGUUUGGUGCGUUUAUUGAAAUACAAAAUUUGCAUCCAUAUAGGCAUGUAUCAACUGUUACUCAGUUUCCUGUUAGGAAUUCAGUUAAAAUAUUAAGAUUUCCAAAUAACAGGGCAUGGUUUUAUUGUGGGAUGUCGACUCUGGGCUUGCUCAGAUUGACAAGUAUUUACAUAUCGAUGAUAAAUACGUGAUUGCUGGAGCAUUAUUAGGAGCUAGGCUUGUCAACUGUAUUGUUACUAAUGAUUAUAAUCCUGUGAGUUUCUUUCUA